rnacentral:rRNA from 1 species
UACAGAGGGGGCAAGCGUUGUUCGGAAUUACUGGGCGUAAAGCGUGCGCAGGCGGUUAUGUAAGACAGAUGUGAAAUGCCCGGGCUAACCUGGGAACUGCAUUUGUGACUGCAUGGCUAGAGUGUGGCAGAGGGGGGUGGAAUUCCGCGUGUAGCAGUGAAAUGCGUAGAGAUGCGGAGGAACACCGAUGGCGAAGGCAGCCCCCUGGGCUAGCACUGACGCUC